rnacentral:rRNA from 1 species
UACGUAGGGUGCAAGCGUUAAUCGGAAUUACUGGGCGUAAAGCGUACGCAGGCGGCUUUGCAAGACAGGUGUGAAAUCCCCGGGCCUAACCUGGGAACUGCAUUUGUGACUGCAUAGCUAGAGUCUGUCAGAGGGGGGUGGAAUUCCACGUGUAGCAGUGAAAUGCGUAGAGAUGUGGAAGAACACCGAUGGCGAAGGCAGCCCCCUGGACCGGUACUGACGCUGAGGCGCGAAAGCGUGGGUAGCAAACGGG